GAUGAACGCUGGCGGCGUGCCUAAUACAUGCAAGUCGAGCGAACAGACGAGGAGCUUGCUCCUCUGACGUUAGCGGCGGACGGGUGAGUAACACGUGGAUAACCUACCUAUAAGACUGGGAUAACUUCGGGAAACCGGAGCUAAUCCCGGAUAAUAUAUUGAACCGCAUGGUUCAAUAGUGGAAGUCGGUUUUGCUGUCACUUAUAGAUGGAUCCGCGCCGCAUUAGCUAGUUGGUAAGGUAACGGCUUACCAAGGCAACGAUGCGUAGCCGACCUGAGAGGGUGAUAGGCCACACGGGAACUGAGACACGGUCCAGACUCCUACGGGAGGCAGCAGUAGGGAAUCGUCCGCAAUGGGCGAAAGCUUGACGGAGCAACGCCGCGUGAGUGAUGAAGGUCUUCGGAUCGUAAAACUCUGUUAUUAGGGAAGAACAAAUGUGUAAGCAACUAUGCACGUCUUGACGGUACCUAAUCAGAAAGCCACGGCUAACUACGUG
rnacentral:rRNA from 1 species